ACCACAGCCAUAUCACCCUGCAGCCCAAGACUGGUUGCCCACUGAAGCUAAGCAGGGUUGAGCCUGGUCAGUACCUGGAUGGGAGACCUCCUGGGAAAACUAGUUUGCUGCUGGAA
rnacentral:rRNA from 1 species